AUAGUUCAAUUAAUUUAUGAAAAAAUAAGUUAAAUAAUUAAGUUUGCUAAAAUAAAAAUGUAUAAAUAUAUAAAGUAGAGUGCUAGCUAUAAGUGUAAUAUGAAAUGUGGGUGCAAAAAUGAUUAAAAGUGUUGAAAAAAUGCAGCAAAAAGUCGGCGUCAUAUAAAUGUUUAGUGUUGUGAGUCUUUUAUUUGUGAAAAAAUUAAAGUUUAUUGUUGUUUGUUUAAAAAAUAAGUUAAUGUAUAAAAGGAAAAUGUUGUCUUGCUAAUAAAAAAGUUUAAGUGAAUGAGUUUUGUUAGUUUUUGUGUUGUAAAAAUGUCUGUAUAUGUGUAAAGUGUUUGUUUGGAAAAAUGUGACCUGUCUCUAAGUGGUCACCCAAGUGCCUUAUCUUCGAUAUUGGUUACCAAUGGUCCGGAAGCCAAAGUGUUUUUAAGAAAAAAAUGGCCUGUCGUGAAGUGCCUACAAAGUGUUUCAUCUUCGAUGUUAGAUGCAAUUGGUCCGGAAGCCAAUGCAGUUAUAAGAAAAAAGAUCCCUAUCGUAAAGGGCCCAUUUAAGUGUUUGAUCCUCGAUGACAAUUGCAAAUGGUCCAGAAGG